rnacentral:rRNA from 1 species
CUGCAACCCGCCUGCGUGAAGUCGGAAUCGCUAGUAAUCGCGGAUCAGCAUGCCGCGGUGAAUACGUUCCCGGGCCUUGUACACACCGCCCGUCACACCAUGAGAGUCGGGAACACCCGAAGUCCGUAGCCUAACCGAAGGGGGCGCGGCCGAAGGUGGGUUCGAUAAUUGGGGUGAAGUCGUAACAAGGUAUC